rnacentral:rRNA from 1 species
GGCCGCGGGAAUUCGAUUCAGGCCUAACACAUGCAAGUCGAGCGAUUUACUUCGGUAAAGAGCGGCGGACGGGUGAGUAACGCGUGGGUAACCUGCCCUGUACACACGGAUAACAUACCGAAAGGUAUGCUAAUACGAGAUAAUAUACUUUUAUCGCAUGGUAGAAGUAUCAAAGCUUUUGCGGUACAGGAUGGACCCGCGUCUGAUUAGCUAGUUGGUGAGGUAACGGCUCACCAAGGCGACGAUCAGUAGCCGACCUGAGAGGGUGAUCGGCCACAUUGGAACUGAGACACGGUCCAAACUCCUACGGGAGGCAGCAGUGGGGAAUAUUGAAGAAUGGGCGAAAGCCUGAUGCAGCAACGCCGCGUGAUUAAUGGAGGCCUUCGGGUCGUAAAGCUCUGUCCUCAAGGAAGAUAAUGACGGUACUGAGAGAAGCCCC